UUCACUCUGAAAUUUCAGAGUGAAGCUUCACUCUGGAUAGAGACUGCUCUAUGGAUUAGGGAAUCAGAUGUAGUGUUUUAUAUCAAGAGCUAAUAUUUGUAUUUUAUAUGAAAAGUAGAAUGUUAUGACUUAUUAUUGAUGCCCUGUUAGUAAUGUUAUAACUUUCUAUAAAGGGUCCAUUUUCUUUGAUAAUGUUAUGUCUCCACCAUUACUUAGAGUGUGCAUUCUGUAGUAUUUUUUAUACCAGGCGAACUUAUUGUAAUCCUCCUAUUUUACCGAAGCAAGAAUAUAUUGUUGUUCAAGACAAACAAGUUGUGGCAUGAUGCCUCAUGAAUUGAUCUUAAACUUUCUAGUUAUAUAGAAAAAUACUCUGUUCACAAUUUAGUAGUCUAAUAAAUACACUAUAGGCCUGAGAAUAAAAGAGUAUGGCCAGUGAGGCAGUGACAGAUUAUUUGUACAUUGCCAAAUAUCUCAGCUUUAUUCCCAUUCGUCAAUGGUCAUGAGUGUGAAUCAUGUUUUUCUUUGUUGGAUAAUUGCUCUUAUUUAAAUACAGUAAUGUAAUUUAUAUUCUAUUAAUAAAUUACAUCGUAUUGUAGUACCCAACUUUUGCUCUUAAAGCUUCUGGGAAUGUUAGUUUUUGAUCCUGUCAACACUCUUUGAAUACCUGGUGGCUGUUGAUAUUGAUUUAAGAAUAUAAUUUAUUCUUCAGUUCUAAUAUUUCCUCCCAUCUCUCCAGUCCUCUUUAAAUAGCUAUAUGUAUGACACCAAUUAUUUAUAACACAGUCCUGAACUGUUGUGAAUGUAUUAGUUGAAUUCGGAGUCGAUAACUAUGUAUGGUUUAUACAGACUAAAUUCACCGUAAUAGUAUUUCGCAUUGCAUCAUGGCUCUAGUUGUUGGACGAACAGGAUCACUGUUCUUUGUCAGUGUGAUAUCGGCUUGGUAGUGAAUUCAAUUUAGUUAGAUUACUGUCCAUCUUGAUUGUCGUGUACUUUUUCUUCUAGUUCUUGCACUCUUUGAUCAGGUCCUGUAAUACUGUAAAUUUUGCUGUGAACAUGUUAUAAGUUUAAUGGAAAUUUGAGAAACUCUGGAAGGACUUUCAACAGCAUUGUGAAGUCUGUCUCCCAGCUCCAAUUUUUGCCCAUCACUUCUCAUCAUAUUUAGAUUCAUAGUCAAGGUUUAAUUUGGAGCAAUUGUAAAUGCACUGUUUAAUGCAUCCUUGAUUAUUUUUGUAAUAUGUAAGAUUGAGGUUGUGAAACAUGAAACUGAAUCUACAUUUUGUUGUUGUCUCACUUACAGAUUGAGGCAGCCUUGUGUGGAUUAUCUUGAAAUUUGGUGGCCGGGGUGACAUUGUUGCACAGCAGGAAAUGGAAAGGAGUCGUUCUCCACCAAUAAUAGUUCACAAAUCACAAUUUAACACAUGGAGGGGGCCAUUUUCCAAUUUGGAUUGUUAAGGUGCUGACUCAGAGUCAAUUCAGGUGUACAGUGUCUCUGUGCUGCCUGCUAGCAGUUGCUGAUGGCUGGUGAAGAGGCUCGUGGCUGUUGUUCAUUGAAGACAACACUUGCCAUCUCAUGUUGAAGUGCAAUUGAGCAAACAGUGAACAAACAUUAUGACACGAUUAGACAAGAGUUGGAAUGGAGUGGAUAUGAUUUCUUGUGAAGCAAGAUGUUCCAUUGCGGCAUAUGGAUCCUACUUUUACCAGAGAUUCAUGAGCAAGCAAGGUGCUGGGGUAACAAUAUAACCGGAACCAGGUUUGACCCCAAGAAUGAAAUAUGUAUAGUUCUCUGUUUAGAAAAGUCAAUCUUACGGUGGUCUCUCUCUCUCCUCUUUUCUUUUGAUAAGAGUCUCCUAAUCAAAUGGAAAACAUUGACUUGAUAUAAAUCUCUUGUCAUGGGUCAAGCACAGCUGGUUGAGUUGAAAUUUUGUGGGGCACUGAAGCGCUGCCCCUGUAACCAACAAUCUCCACCUUCCAAGUGAAUUAUGCAGCAGACGAAAGACAACAACUGCUAGAAAAAAGUUACCUCCAACAGCUUUCAUAUAAUUUGCUCUAUUUAUUUGUGUUGAAUAACAUAAUGAUAUUGAUGUAGUUCAUCCUGUUGUCAACCUAAUGAUUGAUGCCUCCUUAAUCUUCAGAAUUAGGGUUAAAGCUAGCAUGGACAAUGUGUAUUCUUGUUUUAUGUACAGUAAUACAUUCAACAAGGCAACUCCAUGUUAGCAAUUGGCAAAACUAAGAGAUUAGUAGAAGACAUGUAAAUUUUUGGUCCCCAUCAGAUAAGGAAUGAGAGAUAAGGUGGUCCACCUUUCAACCCUACCUUCACAUAAAAUUUCUGAAGCUAACCCUACCUUCGCAUAAAACUUUCUAAAGCAAUAAUCCUAAAACACCCCACAACUGAAAUUUAUGCAAAACUUUUUGUUCUUAUGUUAGGGGAAAUUUGUAGAGGAAUGGUCCUUUUUUGUGUCUGUUAAGGACAUUAAGGCUAAUGUUUAGUGCAUCGAACAGUUUUGAGUCUCUUUAGUCCUUUUAGCAGUUUGAGUAUGUCAAUGGCACUCCUCGACUCGAUGGGAAUCAAAUAGAAAGGCAUGACCCAUGAAGGUGAGUGAUGGGAUAGUGCAGAAUGAAGAUGUGAGUGAAUGCGCUGGAGAUUAUUGUUUGUUGCUCUGGUUUUGGUAGAUGAUACUAAAUCUUAUUCCUAAUAUUCAAGAGCUGAGCAGAUUGUGAGGUUAACUUUUUUUUGUGGUAGAUGCAGUUAAAGGACCACCUGGCAACCACAGGCGAUGCAAUGGUCAUUAUGUGGUCUGAUAAUGGAAGUGGCUUCAGCAAGUAUGUUUAUAAGUCAUCCAAAGUUAAUCGGUAAAGGACCACCCUAUACAACCAAGAUCAAUGCCAUGGACUAUAAACAGCUAUCUUUCUUGUUGUGAUGCUGGAAAUUGAAUUUCUUCUAUUUAUUUUGAAGUAUCUUGAUUUAUCCUUCUGUACAUGAUAAUAAAAUACCAGAGAAUCUCUGGAAUUUUGUGUUGGGGCCCUAUUAUGUAGUUAGAUAAUCAACCAAAAUCAGGAUUCACGAUUUACUUAUUUCUUUUUUACUCUAGGAUCUUUUGACGACCAUUUUGCGUGCGAUCCACUCUGAAGUUGAACAAUCUGAAAUCAGUGAAAUGUGAAUAAGAUGAAUUCCUGAACUGAACAAUAUAUUGAUAUGAAUUCCUGGCAAUUUUCACCAAGUCCAGUUCAUAAUAAGAACUUGGCCUCU